GGGGCAGCCACAGACACGGCUCUCUCUCAGUUCUUACAGGUCCAUUAUGCUUUUCAAACGCCCUUCUAACUCCUGCCUGAAGUCACCUUCUGCUCUAAGAUGUGCUCCCACAUUUACUGGAUUACAGAGAUAAAUGCGAGUGACCGCCAAGCCAUGUGGAACCGGGCAGGCAGUGGGGUCUCGUGAGUGACAGGCUUGAUCAGCCUCCUUGAGGAGGGCACUCUGGGAAGACGGGCACCUUAGGGGCAGUUGGGGGCUGGCUCUUAGCAGACACCUGCACACACUUCACAAGACCCGGGUGCCCGUCUCCAUCAUCCAGGUGAGACGUGAGGGCCGACUGAUACGCAGGUGCAUGGACCUGCAGCGGAACCCACACCUGGGCCCCUUGACACAUCUGGGGUGGAAGCAACCAGAUGUCUUGACCGAUGUGUGCAUUGCCUAUUCUGGUGUUCCGGGUCCUAAAGCUUUUUCAUCCUCCCCCAAGCAAAAUCCCCUAUGAUGGUUAAUUUUAAGUGACAACUUGACUGGGCCCCCGGAUCCCUAGAUCACUGGUAAAAAUGUGAUCUCUGGCUGUGUUCUCUGUAAGAGAUUAGUGUUUGCAGGGGUGGGUGGAGAAGAGAAAAGUCCCUUCCCCAGAGAGACGGCCAUCAUGCCGCCUGGCAAGGGCCCCCAGAGAGGAACAUGGAAGAGGAAAGAUGAAGUCACACUCUCUCUGCUCGAGCAGCGACACCCGUCUUUCCUGCCCUUGACGCCCAUGCUUCUAGCUCUCAGACCCUCUUGGUGGAAUUAUAUGUAUACAACCCAUCUUCCUGGGCCCCCAGCUUGCAGGCUGCAGAUCAUGGGUCUUCUCAGUUCCAUCCUUGGGUGAGCCAAGCCUUCAUGAUAAACCACUCUCGGAGUUCCCGUUGUGGCUCAGCAGGUUAAGAACCCCACUAGUAUCCGUGAGGACGCAGGUUCCACCCCUGGCCUCCUUCAGUGGGCUAAGGAUUCAGCGUUGCCGUGAGCUGUGGCUGUAGGUCAAAGAUGCGGCUCGGCUCUGGCAUGGCUGUGGCUGUGCUACAGGUCAGCAGCUACAGCUCCGAUUGGACCCCUAGCCUGGGAACCUCCAUACAUUGUGGGUGCGGCCCUGAAAAGAAAAAAUAAAUCCCUCUCUCUAGCUCUCUGUGUUUCGUCGUGGUGCUGUUUCUCUGGAGAGCCCUUCCUUAACUCUAUACCUGCUAAGCAAUCACUCCCCACGCUCCCCCGCCCCUGUCUGCCAUUCAUCUGCGUUUGUCUCUGGAUUUGCCUCUUCUGGACAUUUCAUGUCCAUGGAAUCCUGCAACACGUGGUCUUUUGUGUCUGGUUUCAGCUCCCUCCGCACCACGUUGUCAGCACCCAUCCGCGCCGGGGCCUGGAUCACGACUUCAUCCCGUUUACUGCUGCCUCACCUUCCACUGGAUCGUCAGAUGCCCUCGUGUGUGUCCUCCAUCCUUAGCGGCUGCCCGGAGCAUCUGGGUGUCUCGGGCCCUAGUCCUGAGAGGCCUUCGGGAAGGGGAGUCACAGGGCAGUGGCUUCGUGUUACCUCCACGGUGGAGUUCCCUGUGUCUAGACAGCUCCUGGUGCAGAGUGAGGACUCGGCAGAAGUCUGUGAGACAGUGGAUGGAGGAAGGAACUCGCGAGGCUCCUGGGGGUAACGGUGACAGCGUCUGCGCCCUAAACUCCUGGAGGGAAGGGGGGGCGCGGCAGCUGCUGGGACCACUGCCUUUGGGAGGAAAGAGCGCAGAGCUCUGGGGGGCGAGCGUGGAACUGGAGCCCAGCACGUGGACUCUGUCACUCACGUAGGAGGCGGAGUGAGCUUCCUGUUGCCGCUGUACAAAGCCCCACACACUCCAUGGCAGCACCCCCCACCCUUUAUCUUUUUAG
rnacentral:lncRNA from 1 species